GCAGUGGUGGUUCAGUGGUAGAAUUCCCACAUUCCAUACUGGAGACCUGGGUUCGAUUCCUGGCCAAUGUA
rnacentral:tRNA from 1 species